AACUUUCAACAACGGAUCUCUUGGUUCUAGCGUCGAUGAAGAACGCAGCGAAAUGCGAUAAGUAAUGUGAAUUGCAGAAUUCAGCGAACGAUCGAAUCUUUGAACGCACAUUGCGCCCCUUGGUAUUCCGAGGGGCACGCCUGUUCGAGCGUCAUU
rnacentral:rRNA from 1 species